UGUCUUCAGGGUCGGGUGAAAUUCCCAGCCGGUGGUGAUAGUCCACGAGAGGUAUUCCUCAUGAUUUGGUGAAAUUCCAAAACCGAUAGUUAAAGUCUAGAUGAAAGAAGAA
rnacentral:ncRNA from 1 species